rnacentral:rRNA from 1 species
GACAGGGGGUGCAAACGUUGCUCGGAAUCACUGGGCGUAAAGGGCGUGUAGGCGGGAAGUAAAGUCAGAUGUGAAAUCCCUGGGCUCAACCCAGGAACUGCAUUUGAAACUCACUUUCUUGAGUACCGGAGAGGAAGGUGGAAUACCUGGUGUAGAGGUGAAAUUCGUAGAUAUCAGGUGGAACACCAGUGGCGAAGGCGGCCUUCUGGACGGUAACUGACGCUGAGACGCGAAAGCGUGGGGAGCAAACAGG